CACCUCAACCCUAGACUGGGGUCGUAACAUAAAUUGGGGACCCUGUAAAGUCAUCUGUGAGGCCCUUGUUGUGGCUGUAUGUAGGUAUUUCCUACCUGUGUGGUGACGUGAGUUCAAGCUCGAAAAUUUCAUGAUGUUGUGGAUCUUGCUGAUACUUUCCUACAGUCUUCUAAUGCUAAUAAAGGUUGCUCUGCCCCAAUUCGACGUGCUGCACCGGGAUUUGAGAGGAGAAGAUUGUGUGUCGAAGACCGAUAUGUCGGGAGGAAUGUGGAUGUGUGGUUUGUCUGUGAUUGUGUGCAUACUAUUGAGUAGCGAAUAUUUUUCCCGGUGUUUGAGUGAGAUCGCUUGCUAGUUUUAUUGUGUGUGAGUGAAAGAAGUGAGUGGUAGGAUCUUGUGUUGUCCCAUUCCCCCGUUUUUGUCUUGUGUUGUGGCUGAGUGUAUGCCUCUAUUAUAAAUAUCAUUAUUAUUAUUAUUAUUAUUAUUAUUAUUAUUAUGGCUAGGUAAUUUAAAUUGAUACGGGACAAGAUAGUGACUGUUCUGUUUAUUAUUUUGGCCUUGCC
ensembl:lncRNA